rnacentral:rRNA from 1 species
GACGAACGCUGGCGGCGUGCUUAACACAUGCAAGUCGAACGGAAAGGCCCUGCUUUUGUGGGGUGCUCGAGUGGCGAACGGGUGAGUAACACGUGAGUAACCUGCCCUUGACUGUGGGAUAACUUCAGGAAACUGGGGCUAAUACCGGAUAGGAGCUCCUGCUGCAUGGUGGGGGUUGGAAAGUUUCGGCGGUUGGGGAUGGACUCGCGGCUUAUCAGCUUGUUGGUGGGGUAGUGGCUUACCAAGGCUUUGACGGGUAGCCGGCCUGCGAGGGUGACCGGCCACAUUGGGACUGAGAUACGGCCCAGACUCCUACGGGAGGCAGCAGUGGGGAAUAUUGCACGAUGGGCGGAAGCCUGAUGCAGCAACGCCGCGUGCGGGAUGACGGCCUUCGGGUUGUAAACCGCUUUCGCCUGUGACGAAGCGUGAGUGACGGUAAUGGGUAAAGAAGCACCGGCUAACUACGUG